rnacentral:rRNA from 1 species
GCCCCUACGGGGCGCAGCAGUGGGGAAUAUUGCGCAAUGGGGGCAACCCUGACGCAGCAACGCCGCGUGAUUGAAGAAGGCCUUCGGGUUGUAAAGAUCUUUAAUCGGGGACGAAUUUCUACGGUACCCGAAGAAUAAGCUCCGGCUAACUACGUGCCAGCAGCAGCGGUAAUACGUAGGGAGCAAGCGUUAUCGGGAUUUACUGGGAGUAAAGGGCGAGUAGGCGGGCAUG